AACCCUUUUCAGAGGGAACUGGUGAAGCCCUAGGUUUCUAUCUUACUAGAGACUUCACCACACAGGGCUGUCUUAAAAAAAUAUAAGAAUAAGAAAAGACAAAAACAAAAGCCCCCGUAAAAACCUACAAGAAUACCUGGAAGUCAGACAUCCUGUGUUUCCCUUUCCUACCCCGAAUGACUCGGAGUAGGACAAACACAGUUGCAAGCCUGCUUUCUUAUCUUGGCAAUUGCUUCUUUUCACUCUUCUGGGGUUUACAACAGUUGGCCCAGGGGUGUGAGGGAACAGAAGGGAGCAGCAUCUGCUGGGACAGAGGGCCCUACACAAAGAUUGGAGUCCAGGUGUCGUGAUGGAACCCGGGGGAGAUGAGAGGGUAAGACCCUCGUGUACUGCAUCUCACAUCACCCUCCAAUGUCCUGUGUCUUCUUUGUCAAGGCAGACUAAGGGUGACCUAAUUUCCAACACGCAGGCCCAGAAACCUUGAAACUGACCAGCUCGAGCCUCCUUACAACUGCUGAUCCCCAAGGGCGGGCCAUGCAUGGCUGUAUCUCCCAUCCAGAGAACAUCUACAAAGCUCACGCAGCCAUGGGGUCUCAUAGUUUGACCUGAAACUGAUGGUGACUCCUGUCACCAACAGGAGUGGUCAAAACAUCCUUUCUGGAGUAUUAAGUGUUUGUAGAACCCUGGACAUUUAUGGUGGCAGAG
rnacentral:lncRNA from 1 species